AGUGAACGCUGGCGGUAGGCCUAACACAUGCAAGUCGAACGGCAGCACAGUAAGAGCUUGCUCUUACGGGUGGCGAGUGGCGGACGGGUGAGGAAUACAUCGGAAUCUACUUUUUCGUGGGGGAUAACGUAGGGAAACUUACGCUAAUACCGCAUACGACCUACGGGUGAAAGCAGGGGAUCUUCGGACCUUGCGCGAUUGAAUGAGCCGAUGUCGGAUUAGCUAGUUGGCGGGGUAAAGGCCCACCAAGUCGACGAUCCGUAGCUGGUCUGAGUGGAUGAUCACCCACACUGGAACUGAGACAGGGUCCAGACUACUACGGGAGGCAGCAGUGGGGAAUAUUGGACAAUGGGCGCAAGCCUGAUCCAGCCAUACCGCGUGGGUGAAGAAGGCCUUCGGGUUGUAAAGCCCUUUUGUUGGGAAAGAAAAGCAGCAGGUUAAUACCCCGCUGUUCUGACGGUACCCAAAGAAUAAGCACCGGCUAACUUCGUG
rnacentral:rRNA from 1 species